AAUAUCGCGUUGCAUUUGAAGCUUCAGGGGACUGAGCCAGGGUGCCCCUGAAUGUAUAAGGGUAGUAUUCUGUACUACCCAUAUACCUACUACAUGGCCUGCAAUCGGAAGAGUCCAUGGUCCCAGCUGCAGGCCUGUUCCUUCCAAUGCCCCGCGGUCGCCGCCGUGGCAUUUCCACGUCGCCGCCCGCGGUUCUGGCCAACCCGCUCUCUGUCAGAUAGACAGUGGGGACUUAGAUUAUAGAUAAUUAUUAAGAUUCCAUAUUAUGAAGUCGACUUCAUAUUACACGUUUCCGUCAUAUUUUCUUGUGUUAUUUAAGUAGGUACUCGGUUUUGUUAAGUGUUUGUUUGAUUAAUACUAAGGUACUAUAUUGUUAUCACUGUAUCAACAGUAAUGCACUUUAAUGUACAACAUCCUAGGCGUCUAGCGGGGCGGACUCUAGUUUCGGCUUUGUUAUGAAUGUUUAAGUUAAAUGUAAUUUUUAAGUAAUUUGUAAUUUCUAAAUAUAUAUUUAUCUUAUAAGGAACAUAAUUUAAGACGUCGUAGCGGUGCUAAUUCAACGGGAGCUAGAUUGGAAGCUAAUGCGGUUUUCAUCUUUUGUAUUUUUUAAAUAUUUACUUUUAAGAUUAUCUUGGAGUGUUGUUUGAUUAAUUAACAUAAUUGUAAAAAAAUAUAUU